AUUGAACGCUGGCGGCAUGCUUUACACAUGCCAGUCGAACGGUAACAGGCCGCAAGGUGCUGACGAGUGGCGAACGGGUGAGUAAUGCAUCGGAACGUGCCCAGUCGUGGGGGAUAACUACUCGAAAGAGUAGCUAAUACCGCAUACGAUCUAUGGAUGAAAGCGGGGGACCGUAAGGCCUCGCGCGAUUGGAGCGGCCGAUGUCAGAUUAUGUAGUUGGUGGGGUAAAGGCUCACCAAGCCAACGAUCUGUAGCUGGUCUGAGAGGACGACCAGCCACACUGGGACUGAGACAUGGCCCAGACUCCUACGGGAGGCAGCAGUGGGGAAUUUUGGACAAUGGGCGCAAGCCUGAUCCAGCAAUGCCGCGUGCAGGAAGAAGGCCUUCGGGUUGUAAACUGCUUUUGUACGGAACGAAACGGCUCUGGUUAAUACCCGGGGCUAAUGACGGUACCGUAAGAAUAAGCACCGGCUAACUACGUG
rnacentral:rRNA from 1 species